GACGAACGCUGGCGGCGCGCCUAACACAUGCAAGUCGAACGGAGUCAAGAGGAGCUUGCUUUUCUUGACUUAGUGGCGAACGGGUGAGUAACGCGUGAGUAACCUGCCCUGGAGUGGGGGACAACAGUUGGAAACGACUGCUAAUACCGCAUAAACCCACGGAUCCGCAUGGAUCUGCGGGAAAAGGAUUUAUUCGCUUCAGGAUGGACUCGCGUCCAAUUAGCUAGUUGGUGAGGUAACGGCCCACCAAGGCGACGAUUGGUAGCCGGACUGAGAGGUUGAACGGCCACAUUGGGACUGAGACACGGCCCAGACUCCUACGGGAGGCAGCAGUGGGGGAUAUUGCACAAUGGGGGAAACCCUGAUGCAGCGACGCCGCGUGGAGGAAGAAGGUUUUCGGAUUGUAAACUCCUGUCGUUAGGGACGAUAAUGACGGUACCUAACAAGAAAGCACCGGCUAACUACGUG
rnacentral:rRNA from 1 species